CACUCCUGGCACAGAAUAUUUGACAUCUGCAAUGUAAAGGAGGAGAGAUUCAUUUUGGCUCACAGUCCAGAAGUUUCAGUUCAUGUUUGGCAGGUUUAAAACAGCAACAGCAUGGCAACAAGACCUGGAUGGAGGAAAGCUGCUCUCCUCACAGCAGCCAGGAAACAGAGAGAAAGGAGGAGCUGGAGAGGGAGAUGGAGUCUUCAGGCCACUCCCCAGCUGACAAGCUUCCUCCAACGAGGCCCCACUCCUAAAAAUACAGAAAUACAAGUGCAGAGAGUUAAAGCAACUUCUUGAAAGUCAGAUGGUUAACGACUAAGUCAGAAUUCCAAGUCAGGCAUCCAAGCUCCAGAAAUGCUACUCAACCACUGUUUUCCAUUAAUUCAUCCAUUUUGAUGAAUUCUACCAGGAUCUCUGACCCUUUGAGAGUUUUGUUCAUGGUUGCAAUUCUGACAUGUGGGUCAAUAUGUGGCCUAUAGGACAUGCUCCAAGUUUAUGAAGCUAGAAGAAUGUAAUAAAAGUAGAACAAGACUCCUCUGUUUUAUUUUUCCUUGUGGAUAAUGAGCGAAGGAUACACCUGUGCCACUUGGUCUCCAGGAUGAACUCGUCACAUUGGCUUCCUGGCAUGUACUGGACUGUGCUUGUUGGAGGAGCCUCCAUUGCACUGAGGAUGGCUGUGGUGCUUUUCCUGAGCCCUUGUCUUUGUUGUGAGUGUGACUUCUUGGCUCCAGCUUGGAACCCUCAUCCCACCAGCACAGUUCCUUCAUCCCACUGGCAUGGACUUCCUAGUUUCCACUCCUGACCUUUGGGCCUUCCCAGCAUGGAUCCAUAAAAGAGAUUGGUGUGAGUCCUUCUUGUGGGCUCUGGACCUCCAGUUGGACUCGUGGGAGGCAUUGUCAUGAGCUCUGGGUUUUCAUCUGGACUCAUGUGGGACAUUGCUGUGGGGUUUAGGCCCUUGGCUAAAUAUUCUAUGUCUUUGGUGUUGCAGAUAGAUUUCCUGCAUUUUCUUGUGUUAACUCUGGGUGACCAUCAUAAAAAUAAUAUUAUAAACUCCAUGUCCUGAUUCUAAUUUUUCUCUGUACAACUCCUGAGUACAAUUUUGAGAUGUUGCGGAAAAUGAAAUCUUCCAAUUUUACAAAGAAAACUGGAGACUGGGGAUGUAGUGCAGUGGUAAAGUGUGCAAGGCCUUGGGUUUCAAUACCCAGUGCUACAAAAUAAAGAAUCAAACAAAGAAACAAACAAACAGGAAAAUAGAGUAUUAUUCUUUCCUGGUAAACUGGUAGGACCCAGUAAUAUUGGUAGCCUAGCAUAUAAAGGGAAUUUACACAUAGAAAAAAUAAUCCUUUAAAAAUAGACUUACAUAUACAAGUUGUAUGAAAUAUGGUUUGGUAAUACCAUUAGUGAAUGUAGACCUUUAAUGAGAAUAAUACACUCUGGGGUAUUAAUGUUUUGUUAAAGUGGAAAGCACAUCUAUGUAUUGCUUUUAUUGUUUUAUUGUAUUGCAUAAAAUUCUUAUAAUGUGAAGCAAUAGAAGAAAUAUUCUUAGAUUUUGCAUUUUUUGCUGAGGCCAUGGCUAUCUGGAUUGAUAAUGUAAACAUGGUCUAAUCAAAAACUAUGGUGAAUGCUUAAAUGUAAAAAUUUAUUAGAGUAAAAGACAUUGUUAUUAAUUCCUCUCAAAAUAUUUCCCCUCUCUUUAAAAGUACUUCUUCAGAAAGUGGUAAGAACAAUAGAAGUGUGUUGAAAGCUGGAGAGAGUAGAUAUUAUGAAAGGGAAUUAAUGGCAAUACAUCCUUUAUUGUUAAUACAUUUUUAAAAUAUAAAAUUCACUAUGCAGUAUAUUUUGAUCAUACCAUGUAUAUGAUCUUUACUUGGAACUAAGGAUCAUUUCAUCUGUUGUUUAUGGAGAACAAUGAUUGGAAGAGCAUUUCCUAUUUCUGUGAUGGGAGUGGGUGUUUUACACUGGGAGUGUUUCUUUGCAUUCUCAUAGCUUUUCUGGUGAGGUAUAUUAUGGAUACCACCAUCACUGCAAAAUUUCAAUAACAUUCUAAGUAUCUUCAGAUCACUCUUGGUGUCACUUUUGGUGUAUUGUUUUAGCUAAGCUGCCUGACUUCUUUUAAGAGAUAAUAUGUUAUAGCAUUUAGUCUCUCAAUCAACUUACCCAGUGAACAUGGUCCAGCUUAUUAAUAUUCCCCUUAAAAUGUGUUUAGAUCUGGGUUGUCUGCCAAAAGCCUCGUGAGUAUGGAAAGUGACUAGAUCAUGAGAGUGCUCAGUGGAUAACUCACUGAGGAGUUCAGCAGCUGAGAGAGCUGUCAGAGGCAGGGCCUGGUUAGUGGCCAGUCACUGUACAUCUCCCGCCCUGGCUCCUUAUCACUCUGCUUCCAAGACAUGAGCAGUUUUCCUCCACCCAGGCCCUUCUACCACAUGUACUGUUUCUGCCUUUGAGCCUGCUGACUAUGGACUGAAACUUUUAAAAUUGUGAGCCAAAAGAAACCUCUCCCAGCCAAUUGGCCAGCCUGCCCCGAGGGAGGAGAGCUCACUAUGGCCACAAACUGAAGAGUCACUUGGUCACCUGCGCAGCCUCGGACACUUCCCCUGCCUUGGCCCCAUGCUCUUCAGCCUGGGCUUGCAGGGCUCGCAGAGGCCUUGAGUUGGAGGAAGACAGUGGCAGCCAGGGCACUGGGCCUAAAGAUUGCUCCUUAGAAGAGAGAGAAGAACUUUUGGACAUUCCUCAAAGAAAAUGGAAACUUACUGAUGACAAUAAGAGGCUGAACUACAAAACUGAAGAAAUGAUGACAGAUAUUGAUAAUCUAAUUUCAAUGGAAGAGAACAAAACUACUCAGAAGAACAAAAGAAAGCCAUGGGAAGAAACAAAUUCAACAUGGACUCCAAAAAGGGAAUUUAGUUUCUAGUAGAAAGUGACCUGCUACAGAGCUCCACAGAAGACAUCACCCUAUCCCUCCAUAAAGGAAAAGGCCUAAGUAAGAUGGUCACUGGGGACUACCUGGGUGAGAAGGAUGAAGGUCAUCAAAGCCUGCAAGAUAGGAGCGGGCCACCAGGUGGAGGAGGGAAGGCACAUGGCGUAUCGCAUCUCGGCCCCAUGCCCUGAGGAGAAGGAGGAGUCGAUGAAACCCAUCAAAGCAAGCAUAAGCAUGGAUCCUUUCCAUGAUGUGUUGGCGAUAAGGAAAAGCAGGAUUGCCGAAAUGAAAGAGAGCAUGCUACCUCAGCAGGUAAACUGAAGAUCUGAGUAGACCUGACUCGGGGUAGCACAUGGGGCUGCACCUCCCCAGGCUGCAGUUCCCUGGAACCACUUGUGGCCCGGACUGCACACCUUGAAAGCCUGUGCUGCUUGUGGCUUGUAUCAUUGGCAGCUGUGUUUCCUCCUGUUGACACCUGGCUCCUGUGGGAGAAACCAGAAGCCAGAGCCUUUCUGCUGUGGCUACAGCAGUGGAGGGACAUUCUCAAGGGCAACCGCCUGGUCCUGACACUCACCUGCCCACCGUGACAGUGUCAGUGACCAUUUGAGAAGACAUUGUUUUAUAUCAAAAUAGGAAAGGAAAAGCUACUACUUUUUCUCAGAGAUAUUGGAUUAUAGCUUUCAUAUUCCUCUUUAUACCCUGAAAUUGUAAUGCAAGAUACAGCUAUAAAUAUAACUCUUGGACACAAGUAUAUAUUGUACACUGAAAUACAUGUAUGAGGAGGGGUGGAGAAGAGAGAAAGAAAGAGCCCCUCCCAAAGGGAGUGCUUAUCUUACGUAAUGACCAAACGUACAAGGAACUAGGAACAGUCCAUUACCUUUCUCUUGUAAUAACAUAAUCUGAAACGUGAGCGCCCCUUGUGAGUGGAAGACACAAGCCAUGGCUGAAGAUGUGUGGCGUGUAGAGUUUUCUGUGGAGUGGAGGGGCCCAAAUCUGAAGUGGGGUAGACUUUGAGAGGUUCUCUGUAUUCCUGUGCAAAACCCAAGUCCAGGAAUGAAAACCUCAGACUGCAUGCUCUUAGUAUUUUGUUCUGAUAGCAGAAAUAAAUCUUCCCAUGAGCUGCCUUGAAAUAGAGACUGUGCAGCCACGGGUCCUUUGCCUCAGGAUGGCUGACCUUGGGGUGUAGCUUUACAUCAUACCAGACCACAGAGGCUUCAAGGUUGAAUCUUUCCAUCAUGCAUUAGAUUGAUGAUUUUUUAUUUUUUAAAUUUUUUUUUUUGUACGGGAGAAGUAUUGACAAUCAGACUCAGGACCCCAGGUUUGCCAGGCAGGUGGCUGUGCCACUGAGCUACAUACCAGGCCCAAGACUGGUAUACAUGCAACUUGGCCCCUCCUCUGCCAUGCACAACCUUCCUGGACCCAGACCAACCAUGAUGCCUCCACACUGCAGGCCAGCCUUGGGCCAACUCCGAUUAAGCUACAGCAGUGUUGGGCCAGCAUUUCACACAAGGAUGAGCCAUGUCCUUUCUCCUGAUGUUGUAAUCCCAGUCUAACCUAGGAGCAUGGUGCUUUCUGUCUGAAAGUAUCAAGAGAAGUGGUACUGACUCUUCCAUCACCAUGGAAGCUUCCAUCACACCAGCCAGCUGGCUGUGAGCCAGCUCUCCUCGAUGGCUGUUUACCCAGGAUCAGCCGAAGGCCCUGGUGCUCAGAAGCUUGAGUAACUUGCCCUCAAAACAGUAUUAUAUAAAAUCACUUAAUUCCCGGGUUUCUUGUGACACUAUAAACCCUAAAACAUCUGCUAUCAUGCUGACUGGGCCAGCUAGGUAGGCUACUGACUGUGUACCUGGCUUCCACCUGGCUGCCUAGAAAUGGGACCGGUCCCCUCCCACCACUACAGGGGCAGAGAGUCUCAACCAUGCUCACCUACUUCUCACCUGAGGGCCUACGCUCAGUCUGGAGUUACCAGUCCUAACUCUGGCCAAAGACAAAGUUUCUUCCAGAGACUAAGGGCAGUAGCCCGUUGUGAGGAAGAGCCUCACAGGGAAAAUGGUGGCUUCCUAGCUCCUCUAGCUGUCUUGCUGGGCCCCAGUUAUCAUUUGAGAUUCAUUUGCAUUGACCCUGGACCCACACAAGCUAGCAUAACUUCAGGAUUCUGUAAGAGUGUUAAGUAGUUUGAUGUGGCAUCACAUGGGAUCAAAGUAGGAGCCAUUCAUCCUGAAGCAGCAUUUAAAAUGCUUCAUAUAAAGCAAUGCCUAUUUUCAAAGUUACAAAUGCAUAUAUCUGAUGUGCACUGAUGUGCUUUGCUGAGAGUUAGGUCGGAAACCACAGGUUGGGAUUUCUUGUUUUCUUAAAUUUGCCUUAGAAAACAUUUCUAUUCACCUAAAUAUAGUUAAUACGUAAAUAAUGUGUAUAUAUAUUGACUUCUGGAGUGUUUUUUUAUUCCAUGUGUAUACCCCCUACAUCUUGCAUGAAGAUCUUGUUGAUACCAAACUAUAUAUUGAUAUUUUAUUGCAAAAUGAAUAGUAAAACUGAAUGGUAUGUGGCUGUGAAAACUUGCAAAUAAAUAAAAAUCACUACAUAAAAAUCA